rnacentral:rRNA from 1 species
GACGAACGCUGGCGGCGUGCUUAACACAUGCAAGUCGAACGAAGUGGCGAACGGGUGAGUAACGCGUAAUCAACCUGCCCUUCAGAGGGGGACAACAGUUGGAACCGACUGCUAAUACCGCAUACGGAAGAACGGGAAUGCGUCGGAUUAGCUUGUUGGGGGGGUAACGGCCCACCAAGGCGAUGGUCAGUAGGCGGUCUGGGAGGAUGAACGGCCACAAUGGGAAUGGGACAAGGCCCAGACUCCUACGGGAGGCAGCAGUGGGGAAUCUUCCGAAAUGGACGAAAGUCUGAGGGAGCAACGCCGCGUGAGUGAUGACGGCCUUCGGGUUGGAAAGCUCUGUUAAUCGGGACGCGGUACCGGAAUAGAAAGCCACGGCUAACUACGUGCCAGCAGCCGCGGUAAUAC